rnacentral:rRNA from 1 species
AUGAUUAAAAAUGCUCAGUGUAAUAAACUGUUGGUUGGCUUAGCUGCGGAUCUGAUCCCUGAUGGAGUUGCGGUACUUCAGUACGCGGAUGACACAAUUAUCUGUCUUGAGCAUGACAUCGAUAAAGCAGUCAACCUGAAGUUGCUGUUGUAUAUGUUUGAAAUGAUGUCCGGGUUGAAAGUUAAUUUUCAAAAAAGUGAAAUCCUGACUGUCGGGGGAGACGAUGCUGUGAUUAAGCAAUACGCUGACCUCUUCGAUUGUGAUAUAGGCAGUUUCCCCAUUAAAUAUUUGGGCAUGCCUGUCAGUUAUACUACCUUGAGAAACUCCGAUUGGGAGUUCAUUGUUUGCAAAUACUUGAAAAGAUUUGAUGCUUGGGUAGGUAAUGCUGCGUCCAUAGGAGGGAGACAUACUUUGGUUGACUCUGUUGUCACUCAAUUAUCACUGUACCAUAUGUCCAUGUGGUUGUUGAACAAAACGUUCAUUGAGGAAUUGGAUAAACAUAGAAGAAGAUUCUUCUGGCAAGGCUGUACCAAAAAAAAAAAGAGAUACCAUCUUGUGAGAUGGAACAGGAUCUGCAGAUCCAAAGAAAAAGGGGGCCUGGGUACUAAAGACCUGCGCAAACAAAACAUUAGUUUGAUGGUGAAAUGGUGGUGA